CCCAUUAAAGCGGUACGCGAGCUGGGUUCAGAACGUCGUGAGACAGUUCGGUCCCUAUCCGUCGUGGGCGUAGGAAAUUUGAGAGGAGCUGUCCUUAGUACGAGAGGACCGGGAUGGACGCACCGCUGGUGUACCAGUUGUUCUGCCAAGGGCAUAGCUGGGUAGCUAUGUGCGGAAGGGAUAAGUGCUGAAAGCAUCUAAGCAUGAAGCCCCCCUCAAGAUGAGAUUUCCCAUAGCGUAAGCUAGUAAGAUCCCUGAAAGAUGAUCAGGUUGAUAGGUUCGAGGUGGAAGCAUGGUGACAUGUGGAGCUGACGAAUACUAAUAGAUCGAGGACUUAACCAUAUAA
rnacentral:rRNA from 1 species